GGUUGUCAAUCUUCCUUGUUUUAUUCCCCAAGCCACAUAAUAAGACUAGUCCACACAUACACAAAUUUGACAAAAUUCAGAUCGCAUCAGCUUUGCACUGCACUAUAAAGAAGAUGAAGAAGAAUUUUCAAGUGAUCGAAGGGACGCGAAGAGGGAAAAGGAGACUUUUUACUCCGGCGAGCUCCUCCACCCUGGAGGCGGCACCGAGGAUACCUUGAGGGCGCAGCCAUGGUGAGCGUGCAGUGUCUUUGCCUUGAGCGCGCAGCCGUCCGCGGACACGCGUCUCUGCGCUUCCACCUUGGAGGCGGCACCCAGUACGGACCGACGCCGACCUCCCAGCGCAGGGCCGCAAGCUCAUACAGCUCGAGCCAGUACUCCAUUCAAAUUACAUAGGUUGCAACCGGCCUGGUUAUUGUCACUGACAGAGCCAUGACUUCUUUUUGAUCCAAAAAACCAUUUGCCUUAUCAAGUUCAUAUUGCUGCUGCAAACUUGGCUCUGGAUUUCUCGGAUAAUGUUGCUUGUCUCCCUAACAAACAAUCUUUCUCCCUCUGAUAUUCUUCCAGUGCAGGGUAAAACUAUUAAAUCUGAUUUGUUAGUUCAAGGACCUAAAGUGUUUUCAGACCUUCAGAUCUAAGAAGAUUCCUGGAUUUACACAAGGAGAGGUGGGUACAGGUGUGGGUGUUUUCUUGUGCAUUCCAACAGAUAAUGUCCAAGUUCAAGCAUCGGCUCCUCCUUCUACUCCUUUACAGGCCGAAGCCUUGCUUGCGCUGUUCAGAUGGCCUCUCAGGUUAAUCUUGCUAGCCCAACUUUCUUAAUAGAUUUGCCUUUCAUUAGCUUCAUUUGCUGCUUUGCGAGACAUUUCAGAUUCCUCUACUCCUUGGAACAUUAGAAGAGAGCUAGCUAUCUCUUCUAAAAAUGCUGCUAAUCUGAAUUCCAAGGUGUUCCAUGUUUCUCGAGAUAUUAAUGGUAUUGCGCACAAUCUUGCCCACCAAGUUUUCAGAUCCACUGCUUCUGAUGGAAGUGAUUGCUUUCGGCUGCUACACAGAUUUUAGGACCUUGUGGUACAUGCCUCUAUUCUCAUCUUAAUUUCUACUUUCAUUCACAAGGAGAAGGAGGUCGCUCUGCUUUGUUCAUUUUGCAGGUUUGCUCCAGAAGAAGGCCAUUCAUAGAAAUGUUGGAUGGUGUGCGAGUUGCGGAAACGUCUUGCCGCGAUGUGAGGGACGUGUUGCAUGUUAUAUAGCAGGGGCACCGAACCCUGGAUAGUGCAUACAUGUUUAAAGUACAUCUUGGAGAUAAAGGGAUAGAGAUAGAGUCUAAUCUAGUUACAACCGAUAAGCAUAGAUAGAGAGAUUGAGGUUUAAACUAGAUCCUAUCUUAUCUCUACUAGACUCCUUGGUGAACAAGUCAUGUAGCUUGAAAUCCUAUUAUGUUCGACACCCUCCCUUAAUCACAACUUCAUUAAGUUGAGAUUAUGUUUGAAGACUUCAAAGCUUCUGGUAGGCAAAGCUUUUGUGAAUCCAUCUGCAACUUGAUCACUUGAAUGAAUGAACCGAAUGUCUAGCAUUUUACUGGCCA